GGGGUUGUAGCUCAGUUAGAAGAGCGCAGGCAUGGCAUGCCUGAGGUCGUGGGUUCGAGCCCCACCUGCUCCACCA
rnacentral:tRNA from 1 species